CCAAUAGCGUAUAUUAAAGUUGUUGCAGUUAAAAAGCUCGUAGUUGAAUUUCGGGAUCAGUAGGUCGGUCGUGCCACAGGUAUGCACUGGUCUCACUGGUUCCUCCUUCCUGAUGAACCGUAAUGCCAUUAACUUGGUGUUGCGGGGAGACUGGACUGUUACUUUGAAAAAAUUAGAGUGUUUAAAGCAGGCUUACGCUUGAAUACAUUAGCAUGGAAUAAUGAAAUAGGACGUUCGAUCCUAUUUUGUUGGUUUCUAGGAUUGACGUAAUGAUUAAUAGGGACAGUUGGGGGCAUUAGUAUUCAAUUGUCAGAGGUGAAAUUCUUGGAUUUAUUGAAGACUAACUACUGCGAAAGCAUUUGCCAAGGAUGUUUUCAUUAAUCAAGAACGAAAGUUAGGGGAUCGAAGACGAUCAGAUACCGUCGUAGUCUUAACCAUAAACUAUGCUGACUAGGGAUCGGAUGAUGUUAAUUUUUUAAUGACUCAUUCGGCGCCUUACG
rnacentral:rRNA from 1 species